GCAAGUCGAACGAUGAUAACUAGCUUGCUAGUUAGAUUAGUGGCGGACGGGUGAGUAAUGUAUAGGAAUCUGCCUAGUAGUGGGGGACAACGUAUGGAAACGUACGCUAAUACCGCAUACGCCCUUCGGGGGAAAGCGGGGGAUCUUCGGACCUCGCGCUAUUAGAUGAGCCUAUAUCCAAUUAGCUAGAUGGUGGGGUAAGAGCCUACCAUGGCGACGAUUGGUAGCUGGUUUGAGAGGAUGAUCAGCCACAUCGGGACUGAGACACGGCCCGAACUCCUACGGGAGGCAGCAGUGGGGAAUAUUGGACAAUGAGCGCAAGCUUGAUCCAGCAAUACCGCGUGUGUGAAGAAGGCCCUAGGGUUGUAAAGCACUUUUAUCAGAGAAGAAAAAGCGUUGUUUAAUAGAUGACGCCUUGACGGUAUCUGAAGAAUAAGCACCGGCUAACUCCGUGCCAGCAGCCGCGGUAAUACGGAGGGUGCAAGCGUUAAUCAGAAUUACUGGGCGUAAAGGGUUCGUAGGCGGUUACUUAAGUCAGAUGUGAAAGCCCCGGGCUUAACCUGGGAACUGCAUUUGAUACUGGGUAACUAGAAUGUGUUAGAGGAAGGCGGAAUUCCCGGUGUGGCAGUGAAAUGCGUAGAUAUCGGGAGGAACACCAGUUGCGAAGGCGGCCUUCUGGGACAACAUUGACGCUGAGGAACGAAAGCGUGGGUAGCAAACGGGAUUAGAUACCCCGGUAGUCCACGCUGUANACGAUGAGAACUAGAUGUCAGGGACGUACGUCUUUGGUACCGCAGCUAACGCAUUAAGUUCUCCACCUGGGAAGUACGCGCGCAAGCGUGAAACUCAAAGGAAUUGACGGGGGCCCGCACAAGCGGUGGAGCAUGUGGUUUAAUUCGAUGCAACGCGAAGAACCUUACCAUCCCUUG
rnacentral:rRNA from 1 species